UCGAGUCAGAGGGCUAACCCUGCAUUUUGUGUAUCAAAGGUCAGAUUACCCUGUCGGAUGUUAUCUUUCGUCAGGCACUGGCUGCAGGCUGAGCGGGAUGACAGCCACUGGUCCCAGUGGCUGUUGUGAGAGGCGGUUUGGAAAGGCCAGGAUUAAAAAAGGUCCUGGGAUCUCCUGGACUGAAUGUGACCUAAACUCUAGCCACCCAUUACUUUGGACUUCAAAAGCUGCACCACUGUGCCCACCUGCGCUGCUCAACCGCAAAUCCUUCGCUUCUCUCCACCACUCAGUGACCUCCAUGAUUACAGUCUACAUAAAUGGAUGGAUACAUGGACGGACGGACGGACAAACAAACGGACAGACGGACAGCGCAGCCAAUGGUGACCACAGCCAUCAUGUAGCUGUGCCCAUGGUUUGCCCAUGGGCAUCAAAAUGUACCCA